rnacentral:misc_RNA from 1 species
UCCGGUUUGUCACCGGCAGUCUGGCGUGAGUCCCCAACUUAAUGCUGGCAACACGCCGCGGGGGUUGCGCUCGUUGCGGGACUUAACCCAACAUCUCACGACACGAGCUGACGACAGCCAUGCAACACCUGUCCUGGUACCCGACUUUACGGGUCGGUAACCCUUUUAGGCACCUACUUCCAGGAUGUCAAACCCAGGUAAGGUUCUUCGCUUUGCAUCGAAUUAAGCCACAUGCUCCACCGCUUGUGCGGGCCCCCGUCAAUUCCUUUGAGUUUCAUUCUUGCGAACGUACUCCCCAGGUGGUGUGCUUACUGCGUUAACUGCGUCACGGACCCGCACGGGCCCACAACUAGCACACAUCGUUUACAGCGUGGACUAC